GAUGAACGCUAGCUACAGGCUUAACACAUGCAAGUCGAGGGGAAACGACAUUGAAAGCUUGCUUUUGAUGGGCGUCGACCGGCGCACGGGUGAGUAACGCGUAUCCAACCUGCCCACCACUUGGGGAUAACCUUGCGAGAGUAAGACUAAUACCCAAUGAUAUCUCUAGAAGACAUCUGAAAGGGAUUAAAGAUUUAUCGGUGAUGGAUGGGGAUGCGUCUGGUUAGCUUGUUGGCGGGGUAACGGCCCACCAAGGCGACGAUCAGUAGGGGUUCUGAGAGGAAGGUCCCCCACAUUGGAACUGAGACACGGUCCAAACUCCUACGGGAGGCAGCAGUGAGGAAUAUUGGUCAAUGGACGAGAGUCUGAACCAGCCAAGUAGCGUGCAGGAUGACGGCCCUAUGGGUUGUAAACUGCUUUUAUAAGGGAAUAAAGUGAGUCUCGUGAGACUCUUUGCAUGUACCUUAUGAAUAAGGACCGGCUAAUUCCGUGCCAGCAGCCGCGGUAA
rnacentral:rRNA from 1 species